GGUUCAUUCAAAUUUCUUCCCUAUCAACUUUCGAUGCGAGGGUAUUGUCCUCGCAUGGUUACAACGGGUAACGGAGGGUUAGGGCUCGACCCCGGAGAAGGAGCCUGAGAAACGGUACUACAUCCAAGGAAGGCAGCAGGCGCGCAAAUUACCCAAUCCCGACCGGGGAGGUAGUGACAAUAAAUACUGAUACAGGGCUUCUUUGGGUCUUGUAACCGGAAUGAGUACAAUUUAAAUCUCUUAACGAGGAACAAUUGGAGGGCAAGUCUGGUGCCAGCAGCCGCGGUAAUUCCAGCUCCAAUAGCGUAUAUUAAAGUUGUUGUGGUUAAAAAGCUCGUAGUUG
rnacentral:rRNA from 1 species